CCAGCUAAGCCAUAACGACACUAUUAACUUAAAUUUAGUGACAAACGAGUUGCUUUCUCGUCAUUCGAUAUGGAAAGACAGACCGCGAGCACAAGUUAACUUUACCGGCGGCGGAGAAUCGCGGAGCCGGCGUCUACACUGUCAGUGAGAGGCAGGGACAAGCAGCACUCAAUUCACCGUCGAUACGGCAGAGUGUGCAGAGUUUUUACGUCCAUCCAUUGAUGAGGCUAGCAAGACCUUCAUACAACUUCAUCCAAUUGCAACAAAUGUGGUGGAAUUUCUUCUCUGGACAGAAUCCUCGAAACCCUUUCCUUUCAUCCUGGCCAUGGGAAACAUGCAGCAGAUCUCUCAAUCUUU